GCUGUAGCUCAGUGGUAGAGCAUCUACUACAUGUGGAGGGUCUCAGGUUUGGUUCCUGGCAUCUCCA